rnacentral:rRNA from 1 species
AUCUGGUUGAUCCUGCCAGUAGUCAUAUGCUUGUCUCAAAGAUUAAGCCAUGCAUGUGUGAGUAUAAGUGUUAUACAGCGAGACUGCGAAUGGCUCAUU